GAUGAAGAACGUAGCGAAAUGCGAUACGUAAUGUGAAUUGCAGAAUUCAGUGAAUCAUCGAGUCUUUGAACGCACAUUGCGCCCCCUGGUAUUCCGGGGGGCAUGCCUGUCCGAGCGUCAUUGCUGCCCAUCAAGCACGGCUUGUGUGUUGGGUCGUCGUCCCCCCCUCCGGGGGGGGACGGGCCCUAAAGGCAGCGGCGGCACCGCGUCCGAUCCUCGAGCGUAUGGGGCUUUGUCACCCGCUCUGUAGGCCCGGCCGGCGCUUGCCGAACGCAAAACAACCAUUCUUUCCAGGUUGACCUCGGAUCAGGUAGGGAUACCCGCUGAACUUAAGCAUAUCAAUAAGCGGAGGA
rnacentral:misc_RNA from 1 species